GGGGCUGUAGCUAAGUGGUAGAGCGUCCACCUCACAUGUGUGAGGCACUGGGUUCGAUCCUCAGCACCA
rnacentral:tRNA from 1 species